GUAGGUGGCAAGCGUUGUCCGGAAUUAUUGGGCGUAAAGCGCGCGCAGGUGGUUCUUUAAGUCUGAUGUGGGAAGCCCCCCGGGCUCAACCGGGGAGGGUCAUUGGAAACUGGGGAACUUGAGUGCAGGAGAGGAAAGUGGAAUUCCACGUGUAGCGGUGAAAUGCGUAGAUAUGUGGAGGAACACCAGUGGCGAAGGCGACUUUCUGGCCUGUAACUGACACUGAGGCGCGAAAGCGUGGGGAGCAAACAGGAUUAGAUACCCUGGUAGUCCACGCCGUAAACGAUGAGUGCUAAGUGUUGGGGGGUUUCCGCCCCUCAGUGCUGCAGCUAACGCAUUAAGCACUCCGCCUGGGGAGUACGGUCGCAAAGACUG
rnacentral:rRNA from 1 species